ACGGUUAUAAAUCAACACCUUGAUUAUAAGCAUGAAAUCCCCUGAGUGAAACAACGAAUUGCUGUGUGUAAUCUUUGCCCAUCUCCACGAUGGGCUUUUUUUUUA
rnacentral:other from 1 species